ACGGCGAGUGAAGCGGCAAAAGCUCAAAUUUGAAAGCUAGCACCUUCGGUGUUCGCGUUGUAAUUUGAAGAUAGUUUCCUUGAGUAGUCCUUUAUCUAUGUUCCUUGGAACAGGACGUCAUAGAGGGUGAGAACCCCGUAUGAUUUUGGAUACUACUCUUUGUGGGAUUCUAUCGAAGAGUCGAGUUGUUUGGGAA
rnacentral:rRNA from 1 species